GGGGGACGGUUAUCCGGAUAUUGGGCGUAAGCGCGCCAGGCGGUCUCUUAAGUCUGAUGUGAAAUCCCCCGGCUCAACCGGGGAGGGUCAUUGGAAACUGGGAGACUUGAGUGCUGGAGAGAAGAGUGGAAUUCCACGUGUAGCGGUGAAAUGCGUAGAGAUGUGGAGGAACACCAGUGGCGAAGGCGACUCUCUGGCCUGUAACUGACACUGAGGCGCGAAAGCGUGGGGAGCAAACAGGAUUAGAUACCCUGGUAGUCCACGCCGUAAACGAUGACUGCUUGGUGGUAGAGGGCUUCCGCCCUUUAUUGCUGCACCAAACGCAUUAAUCACUCCGCCGGGGGAGUACGGCCGCAAGGCUGAAACUCAAAGGAAUUGACGGGGGCCCCCCCAACCGGGGGAGCAUGUGGUUUAAUUCAAACCACCGCGAAAAACCUUACCACGUCUUGACAUCCUAUGACUUUCCUAAAAAUAAGUGGUUCCCCCUCGGGGGAUAAAAUGAGAGGUGGUUGGUUGUUGUCAUCUCCUCUUGUCAAGAGAUGUGGGGAGUCCUCCCACGACGAGCGCCCUUCUUCAUCUUUGUUGCCAGCAUUCGCCUUGGGCACUCUAAGGUGAUGGCCGGUGACACUGGAAGAAAGUGGGGAAUAACUCCAGACCUCCUUGCCCCUUAUAAUAUGGGUUACACACGUGUUAAUGGCGUGGUACAGAGGAGCGACCUCCGCGAGGUAGCGGACUCCUAAAAAGCACUCUCACCCGAAUGGAAUCCGCGACCUCACUCAUUAAAUCUGAACUCUCUUUAUCCUCGAAUCACUGCUCGCGGGAAAAACUUCUUCGGGCUUUUUACACCCCCCGUUCACCCUGGGAGAGUUUUGCAAACCAAUACGUAGCUGAACCUCUAGAGGCGCUCCCCCUUGUGAUCAAGAUGGGGGAACUACAAGGGAACCCCAAAAAAAAAAAGGGGGGGCGCGGGGGGAGCAAGGAGGGGGGGGGGGGGUCCCAAGAGGCGGGGACCCCG
rnacentral:rRNA from 2 species